GGAGGCAGCAGUGGGGGAUAUUGCACAAUGGGGGGAACCCUGAUGCAGCGACGCCGCGUGGGCGAUGGAGUACUUCGGUAUGUAAAGCCCUAUCAGCAGGGAAGAAAAUGACGGUACCUGACUAAGAAGCCCCGGCUAAAUACGUGCCAGCAGCCGCGGUAAUACGUAUGGGGCAAGCGUUAUCCGGAUUUACUGGGUGUAAAGGGAGCGUAGGCGGCCUGGCAAGCCUGAUGUGAAAUACCGGGGCCCAACCCCGGGGCUGCAUUGGGAACUGCCAGGCUGGAGUGCCGGAGAGGCAGGCGGAAUUCCUAGUGUAGCGGUGAAAUGCGUAGAUAUUAGGAGGAACACCAGUGGCGAAGGCGGCCUGCUGGACGGUGACUGACGCUGAGGCUCGAAAGCGUGGGGAGCAAACAGGAUUAGAUACCCUGGUAGUCCACGCCGUAAACGAUGGAUACUAGGUGUCGGCGGGCAAAGCCCGCCG
rnacentral:rRNA from 1 species